GACGAACGCUGGCGGCGUGCCUAAUACAUGCAAGUAGAACGCUGAAGGAGGAGCUUGCUUCUCUGGAUGAGUUGCGAACGGGUGAGUAACGCGUAGGUAACCUGCCUGGUAGCGGGGGAUAACUAUUGGAAACGAUAGCUAAUACCGCAUAAUAGCAGUUAUUGCAUGAUAACUGUUUGAAAGGUGCAAUUGCACCACUACCAGAUGGACCUGCGUUGUAUUAGCUAGUUGGUGGGGUAACGGCUCACCAAGGCGACGAUACAUAGCCGACCUGAGAGGGUGAUCGGCCACACUGGGACUGAGACACGGCCCAGACUCCUACGGGAGGCAGCAGUAGGGAAUCUUCGGCAAUGGACGGAAGUCUGACCGAGCAACGCCGCGUGAGUGAAGAAGGUUUUCGGAUCGUAAAGCUCUGUUGUAAGAGAAAGAAACGAGUGUGAG
rnacentral:rRNA from 1 species